rnacentral:lncRNA from 1 species
GGGUGAUUAACAGGGGAAGAAUUAGGAAAGAGGACACGCAAGACCACAGUAAGAGAUGGAAAUAAGAGAUCCAGUCCGAGGAGUUCCUCAUGGUUCCCAUGACUUUCAUAAUAUCCACGUGUACCGGC